rnacentral:rRNA from 1 species
GCAUAUCAAUAAGCGGAGGAAAAGAAACUAACAAGGAUUCCCCUAGUAGCGGCGAGCGAAGCGGGAAGAGCUCAAAUUUAUAAUCUGGCACCUUCGGUGUCCGAGUUGUAAUCUCUAGAAAUGUUUUCCGCGUUGGACCGCACACAAGUCUGUUGGAAUACAGCGGCAUAGUGGUGAGACCCCCGUAUAUGGUGCGGACGCCCAGCGCUUUGUGAUACAUUUUCGAAGAGUCGAGUUGUUUGGGAAUGCAGCUCAAAUUGGGUGGUAAAUUCCAUCUAAAGCUAAAUAUUGGCGAGAGACCGAUAGCGAACAAGUACCGUGAGGGAAAGAUGAAAAGCACUUUGGAAAGAGAGUUAACAGUACGUGAAAUUGUUGGAAGGGAAACGCUUGAAGUCAGACUUGCUUGCCGAGCAAUCGGUUUGCAGGCCAGCAUCAGUUUUCCGGGAUGGAUAAUGGUAAAGAGAAGGUAGCAGUUUCGGCUGUGUUAUAGCUCUCUACUGGAUACAUCCUGGGGGACUGAGGAACGCAGUGUGCCUUUGGCGGGGGUUUCGACCUCUUCACACUUAGGAUGCUGGUGGAAUGGCUUUAAACGACCCGUCUUGAAACCGGACC